UACGUAGGGGGCAAGCGUUGUCCGGAAUCAUUGGGCGUAAAGAGCGCGUAGGCGGCCCAGUAAGUCCGCUCUGAAAGUCAGGGGCUCAACCCCUGGAUGCGGGUGGAUACUGCUGGGCUAGAGUCCGGAAGAGGAGAGUGGAAUUCCUGGUGUAGCGGUGAAAUGCGCAGAUAUCAGGAAGAACACCCGUGGCGAAGGCGGCUCUCUGGGCCGGUACUGACGCUGAGACGCGAAAGCGUGGGGAGCGAACAGG
rnacentral:rRNA from 1 species